UUUGCAUUAUUCAGAAUAUCUAGAGAUAGAAGUUCCACAACCAAAAUGAAUAAAAAUGGGGAAAUUGGGCAUCCCUGUCGUACACUUGUUGAUACUGAAUCUUUUGGAAGUAUUAAGGUUUAGUAGCACGGAACUAUUUAUAUCUUUGUAAAACAUGUUAAUUACUUUAAUAAAAUGUUCACCAAAUCCAAAAAGUUUAAGAGACCUAAAGAGAAAUGCAUGUUCAAUUGUGACAAAGGCUUUACAGAAGUCCAAAAAUAAGACAACCGCAUCUGAGUCAAUUGCAUAAAAGGUUUUCAUAAAAGGAAUUGACAAAUUAUGAUAUUCCAAUGGGAUCUUUGCAUAAAACAUCAUUCAUUUUGAGUGCAGUUAUUUUCUUUUGUACUUUCUCUUUUCAUGUGCAAAAAAGCAACUAGUGUUUCUUUCCCCCUCUUGAAUGCAUUUUGUUCUUGACCUUACAAAGGCACCCUUUGCCAGAUCCGUGUAAAGCUGUUCUAAUUCUAGUUGUAAAGACUUGAAUACAGACUCCUCUUCUUCAGAUAUAUUAUCUUUCUUUAGAAAACUGUCAAGCUUGCUCAUCAUCUCCUUUUCGUUAAGGUUAUUUAAUUGCAUCAGCUCUUUGGCGCGUUUAAUGACUACCACUCUGACUUUAUAUUUUAAAAAUUCCUAUCUACUUCCAUGACCCAAGUCUUUUCUUGUAAAAUGGCGGAAUGAUUUGUAAAUGGGCCAGCCUUGGCCGGAAAUUCGUCACUCGUUCAUCCCGCGAUGAUUGUGUUUCUAGCCACAAGUAGCUUGUAUUUGCUUUAUAUGCGCUAGUCAAUUAUGAGUGCAUGUCUAUAUAUAAUUCUUAAUAUACGCCUACUGUAUGAUAGUUAGAAAACUAACGUUAGCCCGCAUAGCUGGAACUUCUGAAGAAGGAAAAUUAUUUAUUUCUACAAUUUCCAAAAGAUAACCAAACAAAAACAUGUACUUUUUACGAGAUGUGAUUGUGCCGUCAUGUGCAUUAGAAGGACAAUGUCUAACUUAUUUGCAUUCGUUUUUACUUACACUUGUAUGUUGACUUCUCCAUUGAUGUUGUUUUUAAGUUUUCGCGGAUUUUUCAUAGCGGAUGUACAAUCGUCGCAAAUUGAAUUAUAGGGUGUUUCAGGAACCGGAGUGAACACAAUUGUACACCUGCAAAACCGACUAAAACGAGGGCUGAGGGGCUUACGUUGCAAACUUCCCUUGCUUGGCUAAUCGUUUGGACCACCCGCCAAGAUGGCGACGGGGAUUUCCCCAAGGGCAUAAGGCAAGGGUAAAUGGACGUGGGUGUGGCUUUUCAGUGUUUGGACCGCAACCCGGUGUUCCAGCACGGCACUACAGGGAGAUGGGGAAACUCCACUGAACUAGUUUCAAUCCUGAGGACUUCCCUGAGAUGGAGAUCUUGUGGCAGCUGACCUGCGCCUGGAACACAGGCAUCCUGCUUUACAGCCUGGCCGAGUACCCUGAGGGGUGGUGUGGCCUGGGCAUGAGCUUCCUCCGCCACCUGGGCUCCCUGCAGGAGAGCUACCAGACACAGAUGUCAGAUCUGUACACAGGUCCUGGAUAGUCUGGACAAAGCCAAGAAGAACCUCAUCAUGGAGGAUUGAUUUGAGCUGGUAGAGCUUUGCAGAGCUCUUUUACUGUCUGGUACCUGAUAUUAUUAAUGUGGUAGCUGGGAUGGUAGUUUACUGUAUGAUGGGUUGGCGCCCCCCCUUGGGUUGUGCCAUGGCGGAGAUCUUUGUGGGCUAUACUCGGCCUUGUCCCGGGAUGGUAUGUUGGUGGUUAGAGAUAUCCCUCCAAUGGUGUGGAGGCUGUGCUUUGGCAAAGUGGGUGGGGUUAUAUCCUACCUGUUUGGCCCUGUCCGGGGGUUUCAUCGGAUGGGGCCAGUGUCUCCUGACACAUCCUGG